ensembl:lncRNA
AGGAAAGACUGCCCUUGACCCUCUGACACACUUUCCAGUUGUAGCAGCAGGACUUGAGGGUAACCUUGGAGCCUGGGAAACUUGCCUCUCACCCAGGAGGCUGGGGAGGCUAUGAGGGAAAUGUGCCUAUGAUGUCCCAGUGAGCCAGGCCUAUAGUGCUGAAUCACUAGCAGCAUUUCCCAAAAGUGGAGUUAAGAAACUAUUUCUCACUGACUCAAAGGGUGUGGGGCUGUCACUGGUCCGUACCGGCUAGAACAGAAUUACCUGGUUUGCUUUGACUUCUGUUGAAAAAGUAGUCUAAGUCCACUCUGAAACCCCAUUCCCUGUUGUUCUCUGAGGAUCUUCAGGUAUUGCCCCCAGACGUCUUUCAGGAAAAAUUGUCUGAUGAGUGCUCUUCAGUUGUGCUACAGAAUUUUGAAAUGACACAACGUUGAAUUUGGACUAAAUUGUAAAUGAGCUAAUGCUCCGAUGUUUGUACUUACCUGGAAAAACAGGUUUAAAAGAUCCAGGAAAUCAAGCCAUAUGAUCACUCAAGAAAGGAGUUUGUAAGAAUGUGCCAUCACUUUGGAUAGCCCUGCCAAUUGCCGUUUUCGGAAGUGAAUGGGGACUUUUUUGCCUUUGGUUUGGUCUUCUGCAUUUUUCAAGGCCCAGUUUAAGUCCUGCUUUGUCUAAGAGACUUUCCUGAGUUCCCACAGACAGCCUCACCUCUCCUUUACCUCUGCUUUUCCUCAGCUCCAGGUAUUUAAAAAAUUUACUUAUCUGGCAAGUCUCCUGACCUUUCGGUCAAUACCUUUGAUACAGUAUCUGUGUGCCAAGCACUGUGCUGAAUUCUUUGCGGUAAUCAUUCCUUCUAAUCCUCUACCACCAGGUCAGAGACCAAUGGAAGAGUAAAUCAGAAUAGGAAAUGACCACCACUGUCUGUGACAUCAGAGAAGGAAAGGCAACCCACUCCAGUAUUCUUGCCUAAAGAAUCCUGUGGACAGAGGAGCNNNNNNNNNNNNNNNNNNNNNNNNNNNNNNNNNNNNNNNNNNNNNNNNNNNNNNNNNNNUGCAUGCAUGCAUUGGAGAAGGAAAUGGCAACCCAUUCCAGUAUUCUUGAUUUAGCAGCAGCAUUCUUUGAGAUGGUACCCUCUUAGGUGGAGAGCUUACAUCCCUAGCUCAUCUACAUCAAAUUUAAAGAUCUGAACGUUCACUUCAGCUCCAAGUAGAGGCUGCUUGUGCAAAAUGAUGUUUGGCAAAAUGAAGUAAGCAAAUUGGGUGUCAUGGUGAAUUAAAAGCACAGUUUUGAAGAACAGAGGCCUUCAAAACCUGCAAUGCAAUAUUGACAUUUUGACAUUUAGGUUACCAGGCCAGAGGUAGCAUUGGUGAAAGAAAACUAUGAUUACCAUGGAGACUAUUUGGCAGUAAGAAAUAGUAAAAUAAUGCUUUGAUUUAAGCCAUUUCUUCCCAGGGCUCACAUGUAUAAUAAUUUAUUUUCACAAUAUACUGAGGAACCAGUGAGGAAUGGUAUUAUUAUCUCUAUAGUUAUAGAAGGUGAAACUGAGAAAUAGAGAAAUAAUUAGAAAUUGAGGCAGUGACUCAUUGGCAAGGGAACCUUAGAAAACAGGCUUCUAGUUUUCUAAUCUUCGGACCUCUUCUUAAGAAUAGCUUGCCUUCUGUUCUAUUGAUCCUGUUGAACAGAGCUACAACUCUAUGUCCCCAAACAUGACAAUAGUUGGCUCUCUGAAUAAGUUUUUUAAGUAAAGAAGCCACACAAGAAGCCCCUCCAGAAGCAAGCAAAUGUAUGGAUGAUGACCAAGGAACUUCAGUGUUGGCUGGAGAACUUCAGUUUCCUUGACUGUCACAUUUCUCUGUGUCUAAUUGAGAGGAAAAAAAGACAACUAGAAUUUCAGUAAGCUCCAUUUUCUUGGCUUAUAAGUCACAAGCUCCAGUUAAGUGCUGCCCUGAAUAAGUGGCUCCUCUGUGUUGAAGGAGAGACCACCCCCUGU